GUCUUCUGGCCGCGAGUUCCAUCACGCGCGUUUCGAGGUGGGAUUGCUAAUGUGAAAAAUGGAGACGCGUGUGUCUCAGAAAGUACUUGUGAGUGUAUCAUGAGACAGUAAAUGUGUGAAAUGCAGAGGCUGGCCACGCAGCAGAUGUCAGCGCCUAAUACGUAGAACAUUCCCUGAACCUCUGCCCUGUACCCGUCAUGGUUCUCCCCAAAGCCUGAAGUCCCCACAAGUGACCAGCUAUGCACCAGAAACCAGGAAAUCUGAGAAUGCGGAAGAAAAGGAGACAAAUGAUGUGGAUGCACAGAGAAUGCAGAGGUGACAAAGGACCCAUCCUGUAGGGAAGCUGACAUGGCCCUGGGCAGCCAUCCCCCAGCUUUCUGGAGAGCAAGGCUGUCCUGCAGUGUGGACAGGCCCCAGCGGUUCCUGGCUCUGCCAGACCCCUGCCCACCUGGCUCACCUGAAGCACCAGCGCUCGUCAGCACUUCCAUCUGGCCGAGUGCCCACUGUCAGCAGAACACCUGACCGCUGCUUCUUCCUCCUGCACCACCAGUAACCAUUUUCCAUCUCCAAGACACAGAUGGCUUUCUAGGGACAAAGGAUACAUCAGACAACAGUCCAGGACCUUGUCUGAAGGAAGAGGAACACAGGGCAAGGGAACAAGAAAAUACCCCACAGUCCUUUAGACUAUAAUCCAAAGUUCACUAAGCAUGUGGAUUCAAGCAGCCCCAGCCUCCGAUCAUCUGUAUGGUGUGAGGCCUUGAAACUCUGAAUUUCAGAUUCCUUAUCUGUAUACCUAGAAUAUUGCAGCCCAAAUCAUUGUUAGAAAUCAGCAAGCACCAAGUGCUGGACGGCAGCUUGGUCUUACAUCUUUUCAGGUGACACAAUUGCACACCAUCCCGUAGAGAAUGUCAUAGGCUCUACUCUGCACAUACGCUGCUGCUGCUGCUGCUGCUGCUGCUGCAUGCAAACAAGUCAGGGAGCAUGCUGCUUGCAGAGUAGGGGGGCUGGACUCAGAGAACAUGAAGACCUUGUUGAAGGCUCCAAGGAAUUGGCCACAGCGGCCAGGCUCCCAGAUGAUGUUUUCCCUGCUCCAGCUGCCCAGUAGCCACCUGAUCGUUAUUUAGGCAAGAUGAAGUGAUUCCUUCCACUGUAGGUGGGUGUCAGAUCAGUGUCCCAGGUACCCCAGGCUGGGCCAUGCCUAGGAUUUUACACCCUGACUUCCUGCCCACCUUGGAGAACCCUUUUCAUGUAUAAAGAGAACAGAAUUGGUGCUCCAUGAGGGCAGGGAAGGGCUUUCUCUUAACACCUAAAACUGCGCAUGAGAACCAGCCACAAAAUACACUUAACAAAUACGUGAUGCCAGGUGCACUGGCAUGUACUCUGGAGGCUGAGACGAGGAUCACAAGUUCAAAUCCAGACUUUGCGUCUUAGUGACUCCCUGUCUCAAAAUGAAAAAUAAAAAGCUAAGAUGCCCUCCCUGUAUUCAAUCCCCCAUACUACCCCCCACCGAAAAGAAGAAAGAAGUAUUUGAUAUUAAUAAUGCCAGUGAUAAAAGUAACUAACAGUGCACACCUAUUAUAUGGUAGUUACUGUGCUGGGCACAUUACAUCCUUGAGCACAUCCAUUUUUCACAGCCACCCUAUGAAAGAAGGAAUGAAUACAGGAGUGUGGGGACUGGUCCUGCUGAGCUGAGCCAGCCUGACUGAGUGCCCAGCCCUGGGCUCUCGGGUGACUGCUGACUCCCACAGACAGCCCAGGAUGCCUCCAGAGAUCCAGCAGGCAGAGUGGGGUAGAGGAGGGGAGGAAAACCCUGCUGUGGCACCUGCAGCUUCCAGAUGCUCCAGCUGUCAGUGGCAACGCUGUUGACCGUCUCACUCAUGAGGGCGAUGAGCAUGUUGAGCAGCAGGACGUAGGUGAGCAUCACAUAGGCCAGCAGCAGCAGCAGCACCACCCCACGGAAGCGCAGCUUCUCCUGAAAGGCCAGCUCGCCCAUGCCGAUGGUGAACUUGAAGAGCUCCAACGAGGCAUCCAGGAUGCUGUUAUACGGGGCCUCCUCCUCCUCCUCCUGUUCCAUCCCCGGCUGGGAGGCCUGUGUGCCAUUGAGGCCUGCAGGGCCCCUGAGUCCCCGGGCCUCCCUGCUCAGGCUCACCAGGGCUGUGGGAAGGAGGGAGGGCUUCCUCAGCCAGGGGCUCUGGCAGGCAGCCUUGAGGCAGGUGUACAUAGUGGGGAGGGGAUAAGCAGGACCAGAGUGGGCCUUUACCUAUAGCAAAGCCAAAAA